rnacentral:rRNA from 1 species
UCAGGAUGAACGCUGGCGGCGUGCUUAACACAUGCAAGUCGAACGUGAAGGCAUAGCAAUAUGUCUGAAAGUGGCGGACGGGUGAGUAACACGUGGGUGACCUGCCUCGUAGUGGGGGAUAACCAUGGGAAACUGUGGCUAAUACCGCAUGGUCUUGAUAGGCGUGGAGUCUAUCAGGUAAAGCUUUAGUGCUACGAGAGGGGCCUGCGGUCGAUUAGGUCGUUGGUGAGGUAACGGCUCACCAAGCCGAUGAUCGAUAGCUGGUCUGAGAGGACGAUCAGCCACACGGGAACUGAGAGACGGUCCCGACUCCUACGGGGGGCAGCAGUGAGGAAUAUUGGGCAAUGGGCGCAAGCCUGACCCAGCAACGCCGCGUGGAGGAUGAAGGUCUUUGGAUUGUAAACUCCUUUUGCAGGGGAAGAGAGCGGACGGUACCCUGAGAAUCAGUCACGGCUAACUACGUGCCAGCAGCCGCGGUAAUACGUAGGUGACAAGCGUUAUCCGGAAU